CGCCCCGUGUUGCCAGCGGAUUAUGCCGGGAACUCACGGGGGACCGCCGGGGUUAACUCGGAGGAAGGUGGGGAUGACGUCAGAUCAUCAUGCCCCUUACGUCCAGGGCUUCACGCAUGCUACAAUGGCCGGUACAACGGGAUGCGACGCGGCGACGCGGAGCGGAUCCCUGAAAACCGGUCUCAGUUCGGAUCGCAGUCUGCAACUCGACUGCGUGAAGGCGGAGUCGCUAGUAAUCGCGAAUCAGCAACGUCGCGGUGAAUGCGUUCCCGGGCCUUGUACACACCGCCCGUCAAGUCAUGAAAGUGGGCAGCACCCGAAGCCGGUGGCCUAACCCCUUGUGGGAUGGAGCCGUCUAAGGUGAGGCUCGUGAUUGGGACUAAGUCGUAACAAGGUAGCCGUACCGGAAGGUGCGGCUGGAUCACCUCCUUUCUACGGAG
rnacentral:rRNA from 1 species